rnacentral:rRNA from 1 species
AGAGUUUGAUCAUGGCUCAGGAUGAACGCUAGCUACAGGCUUAACACAUGCAAGUCGAGGGGAAACGACAUCGAAAGCUUGCUUUUGAUGGGCGUCGACCGGCGCACGGGUGAGUAACGCGUAUCCAACCUGCCCACCACUUGGGGAUAACCUUGCGAAAGUAAGACUAAUACCCAAUGACGUCUCUAGAAGACACCUGAAAGGGAUUAAAGAUUUAUCGGUGAUGGAUGGGGAUGCGUCUGAUUAGCUUGUUGGCGGGUAACGGCCACGAAGGCUACGAUCAGUAGGGGUUCUGAGAGGAAGGUCCCCCANAUUGGAACUGAGACACGGUCCAAACUCCUAAGGGAGGCCA